GGUAAAGUAAGCUAAGUAAUAAGCUAUCGGGUUCAUACCCCGAAAAUGGGUAGUUGCCUCUUUACCA
rnacentral:tRNA from 1 species